rnacentral:rRNA from 1 species
GCAUAUCAAUAAGCGGAGGAAAAGAAACCAACAGGGAUUGCUCUAGUAACGGCGAGUGAAGCAGCAAUAGCUCAAAUUUGAAAUCUGGCGUCUUCGACGUCCGAGUUGUAAUUUGUAGAGGAUGCUUCUGAGUAACCACCGACCUAAGUUCCUUGGAACAGGACGUCAUAGAGGGUGAGAAUCCCGUAUGCGGUCGGAAAGGUGCUCUAUACGUAGCUCCUUCGACGAGUCGAGUUGUUUGGGAAUGCAGCUCUAAAUGGGAGGUAAAUUUCUUCUAAAGCUAAAUAUUGGCCAGAGACCGAUAGCGCACAAGUAGAGUGAUCGAAAGAUGAAAAGCACUUUGGAAAGAGAGUUAAAAAGCACGUGAAAUUGUUAAAAGGGAAGGGAUUGCAACCAGACUUGCUCGCGGUGUUCCGCCGGUCUUCUGACCGGUCUACUCGCCGCGUUGCAGGCCAGCAUCGUCUGGUGCCGCUGGAUAAGACUUGAGGAAUGUAGCUCCUUCGGGAGUGUUAUAGCCUCUUGUGAUGCAGCGAGCGCCGGGCGAGGUCCGCGCUUCGGCUAGGAUGCUGGCGUAAUGGUCGUAAUCCGCCCGUCUUGAAACACGGACCAAGGAGUCUAACAUCUAUGCGAGUGUUCGGGUGUCAAACCCCUACGCGUAAUGAAAGUGAACGGAGGUGAGAACCGCAAGGUGCAUCAUCGACCGAUCCUGAUGUCUUCGGAUGGAUUUGAGUAAGAGCAUAGCUGUUGGGACCCGAAAGAUGGUGAACUAUGCCUGAAUAGGGUGAAGCCAGAGGAAACUCUGGUGGAGGCUCGCAGCGGUUCUGACGUGCAAAUCGAUCGUCAAAUUUGGGUAUAGGGGCGAAAGACUAAUCGAACCAUCUAGUAGCUGGUUCCUGCCG